rnacentral:RNase_P_RNA from 1 species
CGAGUCGGCCAGAUGAUCGCGGCCCCACGGGGCUGAGGAAAGUCCGGGCUCCGAAGAGCAGGGUGGUGGGUAACGCCCACCCGGGGUGACCCGCGGGAAAGUGCCACAGAAAGCAGACCGCCUGGCAACAGGUAAGGGUGAAACGGUGGUGUAAGAGACCACCAGCGCCCCAGGUGACUGGGGCGGCUCGGUAAACCCCACCCGGAGCAAGACCAAGAACGCCGGUCCGCCGGCAGCGGAUACCGUCCGAGGGCUGCUCGCCCGAGGUGUCCGGGUAGGUCGCACGAGCGGCGCGGCAACGCGUCGCCUCAGAUAGAUGAUCAUCCUUCGACAAAACCCGGCUUACCGGCCGGCUCGUCCC